CUGGUUGGCCUACUCCUGGUGGACCUGGACCUGGUGGGCCACCUGGUUGGGGCCCUCCACCGGGCCCAGGGUCUAUUGGCCUUCCUCGAUCAGAUGGGCCUUGGGUAGCAGGGCCCAUAGGCGCUCCAGCUUGGGGACCCACCUUCUUGGGUGGCCUUGGAAAUGCAAUAAACUCCUGCUUUUACUUCCUGUGCUGCUGCUUCCUGCUACAAGAGUGUUGUGGACCGUUUUUUGGUGGGCCACCACCACCUGGCCCAGUUGGUCCCCCAGGCCCACCUGGUCCACCAGGAUUCUGAGGUGUUAUAAGAAGGAAAUGGGAUUGUGUAAUAACAUGAGAUGGUCUCCUUUGAUAGACCAUGUUCAAGCCGCAUUAGAUAUGCUGUAUUGGAUAAAGGACUUGUUUCUAACAUUAAUUUUCUAAAUUCCAUAAUAUAAAUGUACAAUGUACUUUUUAUUUUC